AAAAAUAAAAACAGAUUUUUCCAAAAUUGGAAAAUCGGCUGCGAUUUUAGUUCCCCGCCGGAAAUCGCCUCCAAAACUUCGAUCGACGAUUUCUUCCUCCUCCGGCCACCGAUCCUCACCAAACUUCUUCCAUUGGCUUCGUAUGGUCCUUGCGCACCUGUCUGUGGCAGCCUUUCACAGCGGCGCGGCCUGUAGCGGCGGCGGCAAGCCCGGUCCGAUUUAAGCUCGAUUUUGGUCAACGCCGGUUUUCUCCUAGCUCCGGCCACCAAAACUUCCGAUCCUUGGCUCCAUGAACUCCCCUCAACCUGCUGAUCAUCAUACUAGGAGGAUUGCACCUAGAGUGACCGGUUUCACGUUCGUCGGAGCUCGUGGGUUCCCCUUGAUGUUAUUAACAACUCUUUAGAAGGCAUCGAGGCCUGAAAUUGAAGAUUUGACGUCGAAAUCGAGCAUUGCCGGAUUCUGCAAAAUUUUGGAAUUUUUCCGACCACAGAAGCUUUCGAUCGGUAUAUCUCGAGCUACAGACCAUAUUUUUUUGUGAUUCUUGAACCAGUGAGUUCUUCUUGAGUUUCUUAACAACUCUUCAGAAGGAAUCGAAGCCUUAAAUUGACGUUUUUACGUCGAAUUGGAGCUCGCCGUUUUCUGCAGUUUCUCGCCGGUUUCUGGAAAUUUCCGGCCACCUUCAUACUGUUCAAGGUGAUUGACGGUUUGAGUUAGUGGACGAUUGUGGAUCGUAUUUUGAGCGGAAUUGAAGACGCAGCGGGAUUAUCGAGGUGAGUAAACCUCACGUGGUUCAUAUUACGAACCGAGUACUUUUAAUUAAUUUAUUUUUUGUCGUCAUUGUGUGAACUAUAGUUGGUAUUAAUGGGCAUUCCUGUGUGAAUGUCUAUCUAUAUAUAUAUUAUUUAUGUGAAAUAAUAUGUAUUGUUGAAAUUGUGAGAUAUUAUGUACUGUUAUGGUUGUGUUGAGUUUAUUGUUGAAAAGCAACAAU